UGGAAUUUGCUGAGUGGCGGACGGGUGAGUAACGCGUGGAUACCUGCCUCACACUGGGGGAUAACAGUUAGAAAUGACUGCUAAUACCGCAUAAGACCGCAUGGUAAAAACUCCGGUGGUGUGAGAUGGAUCCGCGUCUGAUUAGCCAGUUGGCGGGGUAACGGCCCACCAAAGCGACGAUCAGUAGCCGACCUGAGAGGGUGACCGGCCACAUUGGGACUGAGACACGGCCCAAACUCCUACGGGAGGCAGCAGUGGGGAAUAUUGCACAAUGGGCGAAAGCCUGAUGCAGCGACGCCGCGUGAGGAAGAAGUAUUUCGGUAUGUAAACUCUAUCAGCAGGGAAGAAAAUGACGGUACCUGACUAAGAAGCCCCGGCUAACUACGUGCCAGCAGCCGCGGUAAUACGUAGGGGGCAAGCGUUAUCCGGAUCUACUGGGUGUAAAGGGAGCGUAGACGGCAAGGCAAGUCUGAAGUGAAAGCCCGGUGCUUAACGCGGGACUGCUUUGGAAACUGUUUGGCUGGAGUGCCGGAGAGGUAAGCGGA
rnacentral:rRNA from 1 species